rnacentral:ncRNA from 1 species
ACAUAGAUGAGUUUGGUGAUGGCUCUGAUUGAACGCUGUCUAAGUGCUUGACACAUGCUAAUCGAACGAUUAAUACAGUAAAAAAAACUAAAUUAAUAGUGGUGUACAGGUGAGUAUAAGAUAUUUUUGCUGAUCUUAAAGUAAGAGGAUAAUAAGAUCUCUUAUAAACAAAAGGGGGUUGUACCGCUUUAAGAGGAUGAUAAAUAUCAUAGAGAGAGGUAGUCGUUAAAGUAAUAAUUUAGCUAGCCGCAGAUUCUCUUAGUCGUAACUGAAAGGUUGAUCGACCACAUUGGGCCUGAAAAAAUCCCAAUGCAAAAACGUACAGCAGUGAGGAAUAUUGGUCAAUGGUCUAACGACCGAACUGGCAACUUAGGGAAAUGGAUAAAAUAAAAUAAUUAUAUAAAAAAGUUUAUAUAAUAAUUAUU